rnacentral:rRNA from 1 species
UACGUAGGUGGCAAGCGUUAUCCGGAAUUAUUGGGCGUAAAGCGCGCGUAGGCGGUUUUUUAAGUCUGAUGUGAAAGCCCACGGCUCAACCGUGGAGGGUCAUUGGAAACUGGAAAACUUGAGUGCAGAAGAGGAAAGUGGAAUUCCAUGUGUAGCGGUGAAAUGCGCAGAGAUAUGGAGGAACACCAGUGGCGAAGGCGACUUUCNUGGUCUGUAACUGACGCUGAUGUGCGAAAGCGUGGGGAUCAAACAGGAUUAGAUAC